AUUGAACGCUGGCGGCAGGCUUAACACACGCAAGUCGAGCGGAGUGGUGGUGCUUGCACUAUCACUUAGCGGCGGACGGGUGAGUAAUGCUUAGGAAUCUGCCUAUUAGUGGGGGACAACAUUUCGAAAGGAAUGCUAAUACCGCAUACGUCCUACGGGAGAAAGCAGGGGAUCUUCGGACCUUGCGCUAAUAGAUGAGCCUAAGUCGGAUUAGCGAGUUGGUGGGGUAAAGGCCUACCAAGGCGACGAUCUGUAGCGGGUCUGAGAGGAUGAUCCGCCACACUGGGACUGAGACACGGCCCAGACUCCUACGGGAGGCAGCAGUGGGGAAUAUUGGACAAUGGGCGGAAGCCUGAUCCAGCCAUGCCGCGUGUGUGAAGAAGGCCUUAUGGUUGUAAAGCACUUUAAGCGAGGAGGAGGCUACUUUAGUUAAUACCUAGAGAUAGUGACGUUACUCGCAGAAUAAGCACCGGCUAACUCUGUGCCAGCAGCCGCCGUAAAAC
rnacentral:rRNA from 1 species